UAGGAAACUGUGAAAAAGAUGUUCAUAACCUGCAUUUAUCACAAGAGAAUCACAUCAAGAUGAUCAAUGAUCUAGAAAAUCACAGGAUCACAAAAGAACAACAAGUUAAUCAACUUAAUAGUUCUCUUCAGAAAGGAGAAACUGAGACAUCGAAACUUAGUACUGAACUUUCGGAAUAUAAAGAAACUUUAGAUAGAUGCACAGAGGACAUUGAAGCAUGCAAGAGAGAAAUAGAAAAGAAAGAAGAAACCCUAAAGGAGAUUAAAGAAAAGAUGAUGGACAAACAAAACCUGGUUGAUAUCCUGACAAAUCAAUUUGGCAGUCUUGAAUGCACAUAUGAUAAAAAGUUUAAGGAAAUUGAUGACAAGUUGGUAGAGC
rnacentral:lncRNA from 1 species